rnacentral:rRNA from 1 species
GACGAACGCUGGCGGCGUGCCUAAUACAUGCAAGUAGAACGCUGAAGGAGGAGCUUGCUCUUCUGGAUGAGUUGCGAACGGGUGAGUAACGCGUAGGUAACCUGCCUGGUAGCGGGGGAUAACUAUUGGAAACGAUAGCUAAUACCGCAUAACAGUAGAUGUUGCAUGACAUUUGCUUAAAAGGUGCAAUUGCACCACUACCAGAUGGACCUGCGUUGUAUUAGCUAGUUGGUGGGGUAACGGCUCACCAAGGCGACGAUACAUAGCCGACCUGAGAGGGUGAUCGGCCACACUGGGACUGAGACACGGCCCAGACUCCUACGGGAGGCAGCAGUAGGGAAUCUUCGGCAAUGGACGGAAGUCUGACCGAGCAACGCCGCGUGAGUGAAGAAGGUUUUCGGAUCGUAAAGCUCUGUUGUAAGAGAAGAACGAGUGUGAGAGUGGAAAGUUCACACUGUGACGGUAUCUUACCAUAAAGGGACGGCUAACUACGUG